AGUUUCAGGUGACUUCAGGAAUGUGGAGAAAUACUUUGCCCAUUCCCUGAGAAAAAGCUUCGUUAUUUUUCUUCAUAUGAAUUCUGCUCCCAGUGAUUGACUCGUGUAUUAGCGUUUUGAGACCAAAAACUUUUCAGCAGACUGUUUUUCUAGGGUAAAGCUUUACUUAUCACAGUCUGUGUUUUCUUCACUCAGGCCCCAUUGCCACUGAUUAGAAGGAAUAGGUGAUUUUGAAAGUUUCUAAUCAACAAUGGCUACUUGCCUCAAUUUGGCUAAGGCAUCCUCCUCUGACCGAAGGAAGAAUCUUCAAAUCACCGAUGGCUGGCAGCCCCAAAGGGUGCAUAGAUGAAGAUCCAAGAUCAACUUAGGAUCAGAGACCAACUCCACUUUGGACUGGUGCAACAAAUCCCCAGGACAAAAUGGCAAAACCGAAAGCGAAGUUUCGUCCUAUGUUUAGUCCCAAUUAUGAGACACAAAUCUUGACAUACUCCUGCCUGUGCUUGUGACAUUUGACAGAAAAAAAUUUAAGGUUUGCAGAGCUGCUCCUGGAUCAAGCAGCUUGAUUAGAGGAAUUUGAAACUUUAGAUCAUGAAAGAGCUUACUCUGAACUGUCACAGCCGGUAAUGCCUAAUGAUGUAAGCAAGGUGGACGUGGUAAAGUCUUCAAGGUUCGUAUUCACAAAUGUACUAGCUAAAGAAGUGAUAGACUCAUCUGUUGAUAUCUGAGAUGGAUAAUGAGGAUAAGCCAUGCAAGAAUCUUCCAGAAAAUUGAAUUCAUC
rnacentral:lncRNA from 1 species